UAUGCUCCCAGCCGCAACCUCUUCUUCUUUCUCUACUCUCUUCUCUGGUUUUCUCAUCGCCAAAACCAGGGGGCCAAAAACCAUGGCCACCGCCACUUCGAAGCUCGACAACCCUUACCCAUGGCCUUUCUUAUCACCGACCAACCAUCAACAGCCUUACCAAACUCAGAUCUGGAAUGUAAAGCUUGAAAAGAAAACUCUUAAGACUCAAAGGAUCCAUCCGUCUCACGGCGGAGCCCUCACAUGCUUAGGGUAUCCACUGCUCACCAACGCCCGGUCGGCCACCAUAUAUUGGUGUCACUCCUCACUCCGGCCACUACGGGACUCAAUUGAUUAAGUGUUGGUAUUUCGAUGUUGCAGAGCAUGGAGGUUAUCGAGCCGUGUGUGGCUUGUUCGGUCGUGGUGCUGUAGUGGAGCAUGGGCACGAGCUGGGGAGUCGAGCUGGAAGGGUAAAUGCGCACUGCCUCGGGCUUCUGAUUCUUCUCGGUGUUCUCCAUGGUAUGGUGCCAGGGCGUGGGCACUUGGUGAGUGGAGCAAGCAGGACAUGGGCGACAGUCCCGGUUAGUGUGCUCGUGGAGCAGAACGUGGGCUGCUGGGUGUUUCACGUGGGCAGCUAUGACGUGGAGCAGGGCACUUGCUGGGUCACUUAAUUGAGGUGCUUCACGUGGGGCUUGGUCUUGAACUUGUAAUUGGGCUCUAGAUGUAAUUGGGUUGCAAUUAUUUGGGUCUAGUUUAGGCUUGUAAGAUGUAAAUGGACUUUACACUUAAAUUGGAUUUUGGAUUGACUUUUAAA